AUCACAGGUGUCACAGGCGUCAUCACAGGCAUCACAGGCAUCACAGGCGUCACAGGCAUCACAGGCAUCACAGGCAUCACAGGUGUCACAGGCAUCACAGGCGUCACAGGUGUCACAUGCGUCAUCACAGGCAUCACAGGCAUCACAGGUGUCACAGGCAUCACAGGCAUCACAGGCGUCACAGGCAUCAUCACAGGCAUCACAGGCGUCACAGGCGUCACAGGUGUCACAGGCAUCACAGGCAGCUCAGGCAUCACAGGCAUUACAGGCGUCACAGGCAUCACAG
rnacentral:lncRNA from 1 species